ACUUUUGGGUUUACUUGUAAGUCGUGUGCAAAUUCGUUGAAAAGUAGCAGUUAUUCAAGGUGCAUAUAUGUGUGCCAUUACCAAUGAACUGGUUAAGAAAAUAUAUUUUCUUAUUUGAAAAAUAUUUUACACAUAUUGGUGUAUAAAUAAAUCUAUUAUUAAUACACCCAUCGAAUAAAUGUUUCUCAUUUCCUAGAUAUUUUUUCUCCCAGUACACCCACUGUAACGCAAACGAGAUCUCGUCGAUUGUCCGCCAACGACGACGAGGGCGGCGACGGCGGCGGCAAUAACAACAACAAUGGUCGCGAUGGUGGUCGGGAGAUCGUCAUGCAGGGCGGACGUCUAGGUCGCUCGAUACCGCAACGCUAUGGAGAUCGUGCGCGAGACGGCGCGUUAUAGGCGCAGGACGGGAUGAUAUGGAUAGAGCGACGACGACGACGUCGGCGGUGUCUACGGUUCAUGAACGAGUGAAGUAGGAAGUGGCGGCGUACACCACCGUAUCUGAAUGCAAAGUGCCGUAUUAUUCAAAUCGGUGGCUGUCAAAGCAGCAAGACGAGGAUGAAGAGGAGGAGAGAAGAAACGAGUUGGAGGAAAACAAAGAAAAAAAAAA